UGUGGGCCUGACGAAUGGAGUUACGAAAAUCUAGCUGUCUCUUUUUAAUUAAAUAGAAAUUGACCUCUAGGUGAAAAUACCUAGAUAUAUAAAAAAGACAAAAAGACCCCGUAGAGCUUUGUUUAACUCAUUAUUGGUUUCUUAUUAUUAUAAAUAUACAAUUAAAAAUGUAAAAACUUAACUGGGGCGGUUAAGGAAAAGAAAAACUUCCUUUAAUUUUAUAGGGAACUCCCCUUCUUUAAAAUUUGACCCUAACAUUAUAGAUCAAAGAAUUAGCUACCUCGGGGAUAACAGACUAAUUUUUCUUAAGAGUUCGCAUUGACAGAAAAGUUUGGCACAUCGAUGUUGGCUUAGGAGAUCCUAAGGGUUAGUAGCAGCCCUUAAUGGCUGGUUUGUUCAACCAUUAAACUCCUACGUG
rnacentral:rRNA from 1 species